AGAUGGCUGACAUCAAGUGGGGGUUGCCAUGGUGAUGAUCAACUGGGGAGGUGACCACACUAUGAACCUCCGUGUCUCUUACAGGUACAGAUGUACAUGAAUUUUUACCACUCUCAACCUCCAACAGACCUUCACCUACAUCCAAGAGCUGCAACUGCACAUUGUCUGCAGGUUCAAACAGCACCAGAGAGUCAUACAGAUCACAGUUAAGUGGAACUUUGCAUUUUACCUAGGUUACACUGCUAGCGGGGAUAACUUUUUCCUUUUGACCUAUUCUCACAAACCCUUGCAGUGUAACUUUUUUUUUUUUUUUUAGUUUGUACAAAGCAUACAACAUUCCUUCUCAUGUGUGAUUGGCAUGGCACUACAAAGCAAGCUAGUUAAGACUGGUAUUAGCCUGUCAGGUUUCCCCUUGAUAAACUCUUCCAACACAUUGAAAUGAAAAAGAGGUAUCUCUAAAGGUAACUGACCAACAAGGAAAGGUGCUGUAACUGACAGGUUAGGGUCUUCGUUUAUUGGCAAGUUCACUGUCAUUGUGACCCAACCUUCAAAAGGGAUUACGUCCCCAUUCACUGCGUACACAUCAAGCUCAUCAUCUUCCUUCAUCAGCUCAGCAAGUGGUCGGACUUCAAGGUGAGGUAGGUAUUUGUUUUUCCAGGACCAGCCUAUUAUGCUCACUUGGGCUCCUGUAUCCACCAGAGCGCUGACUGUUAAACCAUUAAGGACACAUUUGGUUACAGUUUUCCUGCCUAUCAGUGCUGCUAUCUACUCAUUGUUAUUAGUCCCAGGGUCUGAUGGGACUAUGCAGUCUUGUUUACAUAGUUUCUGUGGUAGCUUGCGGUGCAUUGUUCUCACUGCUGCUUUAGUUAUUAGACUCAAUCUUUUGCGCAUUUGAGUGGUACUUGGAUGGGGCCCCGAUCAUUGCUUGUCCCCCCGCAAUGACCGGCUCAAAUUUCCCCGCUGUUUAGGGUUUUUCAUACAGCCUACAGCUCUACGGCCUUCCCCACCACAGGAAAAACAAUGUUAAUAGUCAGUUGAGCUGAUCUCCUGACACUUUGGACACCAGUAUCGACGGCCUUUCUUGCUCAUUUGGGGUCUGGAGGAUAAAAAUGAAUGAAAACGCUCUCUUUGGACUGUUUUAGCUAAGGAGUCAACCAAUUUGGUUCUCCAUCAGUUUAUGCACUGUGGGCUGCUGUAUAUUUCUGUUGAUUAGUUGAACCUAAUUGUUAUUUUCAUGACAUGUUUCAGUAUUGUUUCACCUGUUACUGCGUUAUCUAUGGUUUUAAUUCUCUGCGAAUAUCGCUAUGCUUGUGCCCAAUCCCCUGAUAAACAGUCUGUAAAAAGACCCCCACUAUUUCUGGACUGUAUCUGAUCCCAGCUUCUGUGUGUUUGUAGGAGAAAAGUAUCCGCUGCUUUAGCCGUAUUACCUGGUGAAGAAAUUGCUGAGGGCUUUCAUGUUCACCUUGUUUUGCACACAUCAACUCUUGGAAUAACACAGUCGUGCUCUUUUCACCACGAUGUGAUUGGAGGAACUCCCUGAGUUCAGUGACCGUCAUGUCUCCUUUAUUCAUAAGCAUGUCUUUGAAGUUUCCUGGUUUUAUGAUUCUCAACACACCCCUCACUAUCUCAGAGUUGGUGAAAUUUUCUCUUUGUCCUUCCUCCAUUUGUCUGCAUACACUAUUAUGUCAGAGGAGUGAUCACCCAUUUGGCCACCCUGCACUUUGAGUUCAGGGAAGGUAGGAGAGGUCUUUUAGAGACACAAACGUCUCUUGAGUGUUGCUUGGAACUGUCUUUACCUGGUUGUUACAGUGUGGUCUGUGACUGUUCUGUGUGGAAAACUGUGUGGGUGUGGGUUGUGCAGUAAACCUAGCUUGUGCUGACUGUACAUUCAUGAACUCCUGUAUUUUCUUACUCAAUUCCUCAUAAUAUGACAUGUUGUAAACCUCUGGUUGUGUACCAUUUACAGAGCUAUGUGUAGUGGUAUUUACUGGGUUAACAACUGGCUGUAAAGACCCUGUAGUAUCAUCCAUUACUCUGUUUGUGGGCGGCCCACUAACUGUGGUUGACGGUACUUUUACAACAGGUGGAGAAACCCCUGGUAGGGAUUGUAACUCUACAUGUGUACUUGAUUCAACAGGUAAGGUUACAUUAAGACCAGACUUCCCCACAGUAUCAAUUCU